rnacentral:rRNA from 1 species
UGCAGUCGACGAGAAUCUACUGAAAGAGUUUUCGGACAAUGGAUGUAGAGGAAAGUGGCGGACGGGUGAGUAACGCGUGAGGAACCUGCCUUGAAGAGGGGGACAACAGUUGGAAACGACUGCUAAUACCGCAUGACGCAUAGAGGUCGCAUGAUCUUUAUGCCAAAGAUUUAUCGCUUCAAGAUGGCCUCGCGUCUGAUUAGCUGGUUGGCGGGGUAACGGCCCACCAAGGCGACGAUCAGUAGCCGGACUGAGAGGUUGAACGGCCACAUUGGGACUGAGAUACGGCCCAGACUCCUACGGGAGGCAGCAGUGGGGAAUAUUGGGCAAUGGACGCAAGCCUGACCCAGCAACGCCGCGUGAAGGAAGAAGGCUUUCGGGUUGUAAACUUCUUUUAAGAGGGAAGAGCAGAAGACGGUACCUCUAGAAUAAGCCACGGCUAACUACGUGCCAGCAGCCGCGGUAAUACGUAGGUGGCAAGCGUUGUCCGGAUUUACUGGGUGUAAAGGGCGUGCAGCCGGGUCUGCAAGUCAGAUGUGAAAUCCAUGGGCUCAACCCAUGAACUGCAUUUGAAACUGUAGAUCUUGAGUGUCG